CAAGUCGAACGGCAGCGCGAACUUCGGUUUGGCGGCGAGUGGCGAACGGGUGAGUAAUAUAUCGGAACGUACCCAGUAGCGGGGGAUAACUACUCGAAAGAGUAGCUAAUACCGCAUAAUCUCUGAGGAGGAAAGUGGGGGGACCUUCGGGCCUUACGCUGAUGGAGCGGCUGAUGUCGGAUUAGCUAGUUGGUAGGGUAAAGGCCUACCAAGGCGACGAUCCGUAGCUGGUCUGAGAGGACGACCAGCCACACUGGAACUGAGACACGGUCCAGACUCC
rnacentral:rRNA from 1 species